GAUCCUGGCUCAGGAUGAACGCUAGCUACAGGCUUAACACAUGCAAGUCAGGGGCAGCAUGGUCUUAGCUUGCUAAGGCCGAUGGCGACCGGCGCACGGGUGAGUAACACGUAUCCAACCUGCCGUCUACUCUUGGACAGCCUUCUGAAAGGAAGAUUAAUACAAGAUGGCAUCAUGAGUCCGCNUGUUCACAUGAUUAAAGGUAUUCCGGUAGACGAUGGGGA
rnacentral:rRNA from 1 species